rnacentral:rRNA from 1 species
AUUGAACGCUGGCGGAAUGCUUUACACAUGCAAGUCGAACGGCAGCACGGACUUCGGUCUGGUGGCGAGUAGCGAACGGGUGAGUAAUGCAUCGGAACGUGCCCAAUCGUGGGGGAUAACGUAGCGAAAGUUACGCUAAUACCGCAUACGAUCUAAGGAUGAAAGCGGGGGAUCGCAAGACCUCGCGCGAAUGGAGCGGCCGAUGUUAGAUUAGGUAGUUGGUGGGGUAAAGGCUCACCAAGCCGACGAUCUAUAGCUGGUCUGAGAGGAUGAUCAGCCACACUGGGACUGAGACACGGCCCAGACUCCUACGGGAGGCAGCAGUGGGGAAUUUUGGACAAUGGGCGCAAGCCUGAUCCAGCCAUUCCGCGUGCAGGAUGAAGGCCCUCGGGUUGUAAACUGCUUUUGUACAGAACGAAAAGCUCUGGGUUAAUACCCUGGGGUCAUGACGGUACUGUAAGAAUAAGCACCGGCUAACUACGUGCCAGCCGCCGCCGUAAAAC